AUUACCUUGUGGAUUUGACAUCGUAGCAACUGUUGUCUGAACUGCUGCAAUCGAAAGUGUCACCGUCUGGAAGAGAGCGACGGUGUAAAUUAUCAAAGCCUUAGUGAUGUUCAUCCUUUGCUUUACAAAAACGAAAUACUGGUUAGCCUGAAUAUACCAGUGCCUUUUAUUCUCUUGCCCACGUAAAUGAUUCCAUUCGACAAAGUUUUAAAUUUCAGGGUUAUAGUGUAGACGAUAUGAACAGAGAGGUCAGAAAUUUAAAUGAAUCAACACCUAUACGUUACUAUAGAAUUGAUGAAAAUUGUAUACAUGU
rnacentral:lncRNA from 1 species